rnacentral:rRNA from 1 species
UACGUAGGGGGCAAGCGUUGUCCGGAAUCAUUGGGCGUAAAGAGCGUGUAGGCGGCCCGAUAAGUCCGCUGUGAAAGUCCAGGGCUCAACCCUGGAAUGCCGGUGGAUACUGUCGGGCUCGAAUCCGGAAGAGGUGAGUGGAAUUCCUGGUGUAGCGGUGAAAUGCGCAGAUAUCAGGAGGAACACCAAUGGCGAAGGCAGCUCACUGGGACGGUAUUGACGCUGAGACGCGAAAGCGUGGGUAGCAAACAGG